UGGGGAAUAUUACACAAUGGGCGAAAGCCUGAUGCAGCGACGCCGCGUGAGGGAUGACGGCCUUCGGUUGUAAACCUCUUUCAGCAGGGAAGAAGCGAAAGUGACGGUACCUGCAGAAGAAGCGCCGGCUAACUACGUGCCAGCAGCCGCGGUAAUACGUAGGGCGCAAGCGUUGUCCGGAAUUAUUGGGCGUAAAGAGCUCGUAGGCGGUUAGUCGCGUCUGCUGUGAAAACUCGAGGCUCAACCUCGGGCUUGCAGUGGGUACGGGCUGACUAGAGUGCGGUAGGGGUGACUGGAAUUCCUGGUGUAGCGGUGGAAUGCGCAGAUAUCAGGAGGAACACCGAUGGCGAAGGCAGGUCACUGGGCCGCAACUGACGCUGAGGAGCGAAAGCAUGGGGAGCGAACAGGAUUAGAUACCCUGGUAGUCCAUGCCGUAAACGUUGGGCACUAGGUGUGGGGUCCA
rnacentral:rRNA from 1 species